CCUACGGGUGGCUGCAGUGGGGAAUAUUGGACAAUGGGGGGAACCCUGAUCCAGCGACGCCGCGUGGGUGAGGAAGUACUUCGGUACGUAAAGCCCUAUCAGCAGGGAAGAAAAUGACGGUACCUGACUAAGAAGCCCCGGCUAACUACGUGCCAGCAGCCGCGGUAAUACGUAGGGGGCAAGCGUUAUCCGGAUUUACUGGGUGUAAAGGGAGCGUAGACGGCGUGGCAAGUCUGGUGUGAAAUGCCGGGGCGCAACCCCGGGACUGCAUUGGAAACUGGCAUGCUGGAGUGCAGGAGGGGUAAGCGGAAUUCCUAGUGUAGCGGUGAAAUGCGUAGAUAUUAGGAGGAACACCGGCGGCGAAGGCGGCUUACUGGACGGUAACUGACGUUGAGGCUCGAAGGCGUGGGGAGCAAACAGGAUUAGAUACCCCUGUAGUC
rnacentral:rRNA from 1 species